GGCGUCCUUCGCUCAGGCGGAGCUCGACCGCCGACUGAAGUGAUCGUCGACUACCUCGACGAGCACCAGGAGCGCUUCGGGGUCGAGCCGAUCUGCCGGGUCCUGACCGACGCUG
rfam:Geodermatophilus saharensis strain DSM 45423 genome assembly, contig: Ga0070566_109